rnacentral:rRNA from 1 species
UACGUAGGGGGCAAGCGUUAUCCGGAUUUACUGGGUGUAAAGGGAGCGUAGACGGCGGUGCAAGCCAGAUGUGAAAGCCCGGGGCUCAACCCCGGCCCGCCGUUGAAACUGGCAGUCUCGAGUUGGAGAGAAGUAUGCGGAAUGCGUGGUGUAGCGGUGAAAUGCAUAGAUAUCACGCAGAACUCCGAUUGCGAAGGCAGCAUACCGGCGCCCGACUGACGCUGAAGCACGAAAGCGUGGGUAUCGAACAGG